rnacentral:rRNA from 1 species
AUACGGAGGCGGCUAGCGUUGUUCGGAAUUACUGGGCGUAAAGCGUACGUAGGCGGACUGAUCAGUUGGGGGUGAAAUCCCAGGGCUUAACCCUGGAACUGCCUUCAAUACUGUCAGUCUUGAGUUUGGGAGAGGUGAGUGGAAUUCCUAGUGUAGAGGUGAAAUUCAUAGAUAUUAGGAGGAACACCAGUGGCGAAGGCGGCUCACUGGCCCAUUACUGACGCUGAGGUACGAAAGCGUGGGGAGCAAACAGGAUUAGAAACCCUAGUAGUCC